CGCGAUGGAGGGGCAGGGCCGGCAGGGCAGUCGCGACUCAGACACCGCAGUGGGCACACCGUGUACUCCGUGACGCCCUGCUCCGUCUGCUUUGCGCUUCGCUCCGCCGCGGUGCACGUCGAUCGCAUACCAACCCCGCAGCCUCGUGUUAACGUGUGCGCGAGUGUCCGUUUUUCCCGGCAUGGCGGCGGCCAGGACAGGGGAGUGUGGGUGAAGGACGUGGUUGGAGAGCAGUGAAGUUUCAAGUUGUCAAACCGCAGUGGCGGUUGCAGUGUGUGUUUGUGUGAGUGUGGUGGCGGCGGCACUCUGACGAGUUGAAGAGGACAGUUUGGAUAAAACGCCCUUUGGAUUUGGAGUACCCGCAGCACGGAGACGAUUCAAACACCAAGCCGGCGUGGGGAUUACAAGGACGCGGCGGCACUGCGCAGGCAAAAAAAGAUGACGGUGCGGUGGACCUCCCCCUCGACGCGGGGGCCUACAUCGUCGCAGGGGUGACCCGGACGGUCUCCCCGCCAUGAUGCGCCCAGGGACGGGCG